UACGUAGGGCGCAAGCGUUGUCCGGAAUUAUUGGGCGUAAAGAGCUCGUAGGCGGCUCAGUAAGUCGGGUGUGAAACCCUCAGGCUCAACCUGGGGACGCCACUCGAUACUGCUGUGGCUAGAGUCCAGUAGGGGAGUGUGGAAUUCCCGGUGUAGCGGUGAAAUGCGCAGAUAUCGGGAGGAACACCAGCGGCGAAGGCGGCACUCUGGGCUGGUACUGACGCUGAGGAGCGAAAGCGUGGGUAGCAAACAGG
rnacentral:rRNA from 1 species